AUUGCUUUUUAAGUUAGGAACAUAAAGUACAUUAGCAAUUGUUUCAACAAAACCAUUCUUGGUUCUAAUCUUAACAUCACCCUUUCCCAACACAUUUACAGUAGAACAAUCAUCAAAACGUACUGUAGAAUGAAAAUCUUCAUUUAAAUGAGAAAAGAAUGACUUACUUCCACACAUAUGGUUGCUGCAGCCUGUAUCCACAUACCAA
rnacentral:misc_RNA from 1 species